AGAGUUUGAUCAUGGCUCAGAUUGAACGCUGGCGGCAGGCUUAACACAUGCAAGUCGAACGGUAACAGAACUAGCUUGCUAGUUGCUGACGAGUGGCGGACGGGUGAGUAACGCGUAGGAAUCUACCGAAUAGUGGGGGACAACAGUUGGAAACGGCUGCUAAUACCGCAUACGCCCUACGGGGGAAAGGAGGGGAUCUUCGGACCUUUCGCUAUUUGAUGAGCCUGCGUGAGAUUAGUUAGUUGGUGGGGUAAUGGCUCACCAAGGCGACGAUCUCUAGCUGGUCUGAGAGGAUGAUCANCCACACUGGGACUGAGACACGGCCCAGACUCCUACGGNAGCCANCAGUGGGGAAUAUUGCACAAUGGGGGAAACCCUGAUGCAGCCAUGCCGCGUGUGUGAAGAAGNCCUUCGGGUUGUAAAGCACUUUCAGUUGUGAGGAAAGGUUAAGGGUUAAUA
rnacentral:rRNA from 1 species